AUCAAUAUUAUAUUAAUAUUUUUAAGCUUCCCUUCCUCCUUCCAGUAUAUCCUCGCUCACAGAGAUGAAGUUUUCUUUGUUUAUUCAGUGCUUGCUCUUCCUGGUGCUGCUUCUCCUCCAUCCUUGCAUCAUUUCUUUCAGCAGAGGACAGAUCAGCUCGUUCCGUAGUCCUCGGAGCAGGGGUCGUGCUAAAGAUCAUCCCAAAAAGCCCCCGCAGUCACCGGUAGGGGGCUCUAGUCCACACCCAUAAAGAGUGUCGAACUCUGUGCCUGCAAAUUAAUUUAAUAAAUGUAAUAAGUACUCACUUAAAGAAUUUUUUUCAACAUUUUUUACUUAUUGUUUGAAAUAAAGUGUUAGAUCCAUAUAUGGAUCCACUCUUAAUUUUGACUCAUUUCAAUCCAAACACUAUUGAAAACAGAAUAUUAAAGGGAGUGUAUACAGAGGAUGUAUUUAUUGAGAGGGGGUUCAUUUAUGUGAGAGUGAAA